rnacentral:rRNA from 1 species
CGAAUGAGGAGAUUCAUCGUCAGCUUAUUCAGUAUUAAUGCAGGCUAUGAUGUGAUAAUAGAAUCCUUGUGGUCACUAGAUUAUACUUGCUUGUAUUAUUUUUGCUGGGUAUGUCGGCGUGCACUUCUCCUCUAGUAGAACGUCGCAACCCGUUGGAUGUUUAUCUAUGGCUUGAAUGGUAGCCUUUGAUAUUUUUUAUAUUGAAGACCUUCGAUGUCCUGAUAAACUGUUUGACGGUAUACAUAUGGUAUUGAGCCGCAAUUAUUUGCGUUAGACUUGCCGCAAGUAUGACUUUAUUCUAGUAGUGCGGAUCUAAUGCCGUCGCUGGACAAAGUCUGCUGUUAGCUGUGUAAUGUCUUUAACUGGCUUAUUUACGGGUAAGCGAUG